rnacentral:rRNA from 1 species
CAGCAGCCGCGGGAAUACGUAGGGUGCAAGCGUUAAUCGGAAUUACUGGGCGUAAAGCGUGCGCAGGCGGUUUUGUAAGACAGAGGUGAAAUCCCUGGGCUCAACCUGGGAACUGCCUUUGUGACUGCAAGGCUAGAGUACGGCAGAGGGGGAUGGAAUUCCGCGUGUAGCAGUGAAAUGCGUAGAUAUGCGGAGGAACACCGAUGGCGAAGGCAAUCCCCUGGGCCUGUACUGACGCUCAUGCACGAAAGCGUGGGGAGCAAACAGGAUUAGAUACCCCAGUAGUCCCUGUCUCUUAUAC